rnacentral:rRNA from 1 species
GGUUAAGCGACUAAGCGUACACGGUGGAUGCCCUGGCAGUCAGAGGCGAUGAAGGACGUGCUAAUCUGCGAAAAGCGUCGGUAAGGUGAUAUGAACCGUUACAGCCGGCGAUGUCCGAAUGGGGAAACCCAGUGCAAUUCGUUGCACUAUCGUUAACUGAAUACAUAGGUUAACGAGGCGAACCGGGGGAACUGAAACAUCUAAGUACCCCGAGGAAAAGAAAUCAACCGAGAUUCCCCCAGUAGCGGCGAGCGAACGGGGAGCAGCCCAGAGUCUGAAUCAGCUUGUGUGUUAGUGGAACGGUCUGGAAAGUCCGACGGUACAGGGUGAUAGUCCCGUACACCAAAAUGCACAGGCUGUGAACUCGAAGAGUAGGGCGGGACACGUGGUAUCCUGUCUGAAUAUGGGGGGACCAUCCUCCAAGGCUAAAUACUCCUGACUGACCGAUAGUGAACCAGUACCGUGAGGGAAAGGCGAAAAGAACCCCGGCGAGGGGAGUGAAAAAGAACCUGAAACCGUGUACGUACAAGCAGUGGGAGCACCUUCGGGUGUGACUGCGUACCUUUUGUAUAAUGGGUCAGCGACUUAUAUUCUGUAGCAAGGUUAACCGUAUAGGGGAGCCGCAGGGAAACCGAGUCUUAACUGGGCGUUAAGUUGCAGGGUAUAGACCCGAAACCCGGUGAUCUAGCCAUGGGCAGGUUGAAGGUUGGGUAACACUAACUGGAGGACCGAACCGACUAAUGUUGAAAAAUUAGCGGAUGACUUGUGGCUGGGGGUGAAAGGCCAAUCAAACCGGGAGAUAGCUGGUUCUCCCCGAAAGCUAUUUAGGUAGCGCCUCGUGAAUUCAUCUUCGGGGGUAGAGCACUGUUUCGGCUAGGGGGUCAUCCCGACUUACCAACCCGAUGCAAACUACGAAUACCGAAGAAUGUUAUCACGGGAGACACACGGCGGGUGCUAACGUCCGUCGUGAAGAGGGAAACAACCCAGACCGCCAGCUAAGGUCCCAAAGUCAUGGUUAAGUGGGAAACGAUGUGGGAAGGCACAGACAGCCAGGAUGUUGGCUUAGAAGCAGCCAUCAUUUAAAGAAAGCGUAAUAGCUCACUGGUCGAGUCGGCCUGCGCGGAAGAUGUAACGGGGCUAAACCAUGCACCGAAGCUGCGGCAGCGACACUAUGUGUUGUUGGGUAGGGGAGCGUUCUGUAAGCCUGCGAAGGUGACCUGUGAGGGUUGCUGGAGGUAUCAGAAGUGCGAAUGCUGACAUAAGUAACGAUAAAGCGGGUGAAAAGCCCGCUCGCCGGAAGACCAAGGGUUCCUGUCCAACGUUAAUCGGGGCAGGGUGAGUCGACCCCUAAGGCGAGGCCGAAAGGCGUAGUCGAUGGGAAACAGGUUAAUAUUCCUGUACUUGGUGUUACUGCGAAGGGGGGACGGAGAAGGCUAUGUUAGCCGGGCGACGGUUGUCCCGGUUUAAGCAUGUAGGCUGAUUGUCCAGGCAAAUCCGGAUAAUCAAGGCUGAGGUGUGAUGACGAGGCACUACGGUGCUGAAGUAACAAAUGCCCUGCUUCCAGGAAAAGCCUCUAAGCAUCAGGUAACAUUAAAUCGUACCCCAAACCGACACAGGUGGUCAGGUAGAGAAUACCAAGGCGCUUGAGAGAACUCGGGUGAAGGAACUAGGCAAAAUGGUGCCGUAACUUCGGGAGAAGGCACGCUGGUGUGUAGGUGAAGCCCCUGCGGGUGGAGCUGAGACCAGUCGAAGAUACCAGCUGGCUGCAACUGUUUAUUAAAAACACAGCACUGUGCAAACACGAAAGUGGACGUAUACGGUGUGACGCCUGCCCGGUGCCGGAAGGUUAAUUGAUGGGGUUAUCCGUAAGGAGAAGCUCUUGAUCGAAGCCCCGGUAAACGGCGGCCGUAACUAUAACGGUCCUAAGGUAGCGAAAUUCCUUGUCGGGUAAGUUCCGACCUGCACGAAUGGCGUAAUGAUGGCCAGGCUGUCUCCACCCGAGACUCAGUGAAAUUGAACUCGCUGUGAAGAUGCAGUGUACCCGCGGCAAGACGGAAAGACCCCGUGAACCUUUACUAUAGCUUGACACUGAACAUUGAGCCUUGAUGUGUAGGAUAGGUGGGAGGCUUUGAAGCGUGGACGCCAGUCUGCGUGGAGCCAACCUUGAAAUACCACCCUUUAAUGUUUGAUGUUCUAACGUUGGCCCCUGACCGGGGUUGCGGACAGUGUCUGGUGGGUAGUUUGACUGGGGCGGUCUCCUCCCAAAGCGUAACGGAGGAGCACGAAGGUUAGCUAAUCCUGGUCGGACAUCAGGAGGUUAGUGCAAUGGCAUAAGCUAGCUUGACUGCGAGCGUGACGGCGCGAGCAGGUGCGAAAGCAGGUCAUAGUGAUCCGGUGGUUCUGAAUGGAAGGGCCAUCGCUCAACGGAUAAAAGGUACUCCGGGGAUAACAGGCUGAUACCGCCCAAGAGUUCAUAUCGACGGCGGUGUUUGGCACCUCGAUGUCGGCUCAUCACAUCCUGGGGCUGAAGUAGGUCCCAAGGGUAUGGCUGUUCGCCAUUUAAAGUGGUACGCGAGCUGGGUUUAGAACGUCGUGAGACAGUUCGGUCCCUAUCUGCCGUGGGCGCUGGAGAAUUGAGGGGGGCUGCUCCUAGUACGAGAGGACCGGAGUGGACGCAUCACUGGUGUUCGGGUUGUCAUGCCAAUGGCACUGCCCGGUAGCUAAAUGCGGAAGAGAUAAGUGCUGAAAGCAUCUAAGCACGAAACUUGCCCCGAGAUGAGUUCUCCCUGAGACUUUAAGUCUCCUGAAGGAACGUUGAAGACGACGACGUUGAUAGGCCGGGUGUGUAAGCGCAGCGAUGCGUUGAGCUAACCGGUACUAAUGAACCGUGAGGCUUAACCUU